ensembl:lncRNA
UGAGCAGCAAGAGAGCAGGUCUAAGAGAUGGGAACCUGCUUGCACACUGUAAAGAAAGAAUAAGGAACUCCUGGCUUGCUGGCUCUGUCUCUGCAGCCAGGGAGGAGCCUGCAGACUUGCUGCCCCACUCUUCUGUAUCAGAAACCUAUUUGACCAUGCUGCAAUUCCCUGUACAUCUUCCUUCUCAGCUAUCCCUCUGAAAUUGAAGUGGAUUCUGAAGAACAGCUCUGAUGAUCCAGGAGAUCUGUGUGUCUGGUCUGUCUUUUGGAGGAGGUCCUGGACCAGCUGCACCCUGGCAGCAUCUCACUCCCAGCCUGCCUGUAUGGACCAGGGGCAAAAGCCACUCCAACGCUUUCUGAAAAGCUCUAGUGUUAAUGCACAAAUGCAAAACAAAGCAAAGCAUGUGAAAUGGCACAGAUGUUUCCAGAAAAUAUCACCCUUCCUGCUCAGAGGGGGUGUUCCUGCUCUGUGCCCACAGUGUGCUGGGGUAAGGGCCAUAUGCUGAGCACCCUGUGUUCUGUGGCCACCCCAGCAGCUCCCAAGUGUCUCCUGAAGGACUGUGGGUGGUUUUAUCUGCUUAAAAAGCUGAUUUUGUUUGUAGCAUAAUUUGAUGGCAGUUUUCUUGGGUGUUUUUGCCACUCUAAUAAGUAUGCUGUG